AGCCUUCUGUAUCCGUGCUGAGAUUUUGUCAACAGCAAUCAGCCCGUUGGGGAUGACGGUACUCCCCAAAUAAGUGAAGCG
rnacentral:pre_miRNA from 1 species